AAAAUUAGGGAUCACACGAUGGAACUUCGAGCCUUUGUAGUGGAGUGGUUUACCGGAACGACCGACGCCUUUCUCGCCGGUACAUAGUGCACGGAAGUUCUCGGCAGUGCGAGGGGUAACAUCGGCAAAAAGCUCCAUCAUGAUCCGACCAGCCGGUUCGCCUCCGAUCGUCACGUCGAAGAAUACUUUAGGAUUGGAAACCAUUGCUGAAUAUUGGAUUUUGUAUUGUUUUGAUAGGUCAGUAGGGUACGUAAAGGGGAGGGACUAUGUUUAUAUAGGAUAAGGGGAGGCUCGAAAGUUGACGGGAUAGAUUCUAAAUCUAAUUCUUUCGGUUUAAAAUGAUCAAAUGCGAGUUAAAAUUGAAUUCCAUUCACAUUUUGUGAUAAAUACGAAUAUAUAUAACAUUUUAAAAUGAUAAAACAAAGGUGGCUGUUUCUGCCAAAUCUAUUGGUUGUCUCUAGCACCAUAUUUAGUAUUUAAAGUGUGUUUCUGUUUGAGACACUUUCUGCUUUUCUCUAUGUAUACUAUGAAAAGUUAUUCUUUGCUUAAAGGAGCUUACAUAGAUGGAAUAUGGUAUAAUAAUUUUUUAUGCAAGAUGUAGGGCAGGUAAAGUGAUGUUCACAUUGUAGGUGGUGUGUACAGCUAUUAACCAUGAAGGUUUUGAAUUUGUAUUUGAAUAGAGUGAGGGUUGUAUUAUAUAUCUCGUGCCUUUACGUUGGUGCUGGAGGAUAUUAUUUAUAAACGAAGGUUGGUUUGGUAUGGGUUUCAAUCAUCUAUUGUUGUAUUCUAUAGAUGUAGGUAGUAGAAUGAUCAACUAGGAACACUUUUGGAGUUGAUAUGAGGGGACUUUGUGAGGUGACUUGUUAUAAUAUUAUCAGUUCGAAGAGAUGAUAGAUAGAUGGGUGUUGAUAGGAACACUUAUCCAUGUAUAUUCUAAGGAUUGUGUGGGAUCAUCUCAUUUGAUGCGGUGUUUAGUGAAGCGAGAUUGGGACUAUGCUUCUAGCAAGGCCGAGCUUCAUCAAAUUUUACCUUCAAGUAUAAGCAUCAGGUGGUUCGAUGAGAGGUGAUAUGGUGAGGGUAUAAUAAUUGCCCCUAAAUGAAAUGCAAGUUAUAAAGUGACCUACCUUGAGUGAAAUAUCUAGUGAAACACUAAAACGACUUUUGAAAUGUCAUGCUUAAUAUCCAAUCAUUGUGCCCUUUCAUUAAUUACUCUAUGCUAGCUUUGAUUUAUAAAACUUUUUAUAUAAUAACAUUUAAGAUAUUUUUUUUCAUAUUAUUGCUUAAGUCAUUUAUGUUUUAAAACAAAAUAAAUAUUUUAGAAAAUAUUUUCAAAUCCAAAGCAAGCUUAAAGAAUGCUGGUUUAAAUUGAUUUUACUCAUAUCUUGUGCUCUUAAGUUAACUGAAAAGCUUUGAAAAUAUUUUAAAGUGUGUUUUUGAAACAAAAAUAACCAUUUUAAUAGCUAAGUGUCGAUACCCCUAGGCUAGUAUCCAUAGGCCUUUCUAGAGGGGUAAGAUAAUACUUGUUCUUGAGGUACUGAUACACACCCAAGUAUCGUAUUUUACGUAAAGUAUCAGCCUUGAAAUGUCAAUAGCCAAAACUUUUUUUCUAGACGGGCAAGGUAUCGAUACCUUGAUACCUGUUAUUGAGGUAUCGAUACCUAACCCAAAAAGUAUCAAUACCUCAUUAUUUAUAAUGACUAUUUUUUUUAGAAGUAUGGAUACCCUCUUCAUAGGUAAUGAUACAUUAGGAUGUAGGGUUGUUUCAACUUGCAUUUUUAAUGCUUCUAACGGCUCUUUUUCAUCCCCUACGACCAUAAAUAGCUAGAAUUCACUUCAUUGACAUAAAGAGAGGUCGAUGAAUGAAGAGAUAUCAUGUAACACCCCUAACCCGUAUCCGUCACCGAAUUAGGGUUACGAGGCAUUACCGAACAAAUUCAACAUUUUUAAAACCAAACUGAUCACAACGUAAAAAUUUAAUUACUUUCGCAUAGCUAUUAUAAUUUACAAUCAAAAUGUAAUUAACAUCGUACUCAAACCUAUACAUGCCAUAAGAUUGAGUUCAAAUCUUUAACAAAAUACCAAAAGAAGUCGAUAGUGUGAUGGACUAUGCUGAUGAUCCCCGAGCUCGUAACGCGUCUCCAAAAUCUAUAAAAGCAAAUGGACGAAAACAAGCAAAGUAAGCUUUUAUAGCUUAGUAAGUCUACAGGAUAACUAAAUGUAUAUAAAUAUAUAAAUAAAGUUACUUUUUAAUCUAUUUCACUGAGAUUUCAAUUAACACGAAUAACUAAUAUUUAUAUGUUAUUGUACUCAGCCCAUUUCAUUUAUAGAUAGAUAUGCAUACCUGUCGAAAGCGAUCAAUUGAAUAUAUAUUUUUAUACCAAACACAUUACAACGAAUGUAUACAACCGCGCAUAUAUAUAUUAUACACAUAUCAUAACCGAAUGUGUAUGAAUACUCAUUUUAAACUUUAAAUCAAUACAAAUCUAAUACAUAUGAACGAAUGCAUUUAUUUUCAUCAAAUACUUAUAAACCAAGGUAUAUAUAUAUCUCGAAUGCAUAUAUAGUUACUAAUCAAAUAUGUGUACCGAAUAUUUAAAAGUAUAUAUUUAUCAAAUGCAUAAUCCCAGAGCAUAUAUAUAUUUCUCAAUUGUAUAAGCCGGAUAUAUAUAUAAUCAUCAAACGCACUUAGCCAAUUGUAUAUAUAUAAAUAUACUUAUCAAUUAAAUAUAUCCAAAAUCAUAUAAUUGUACACCUAAUCACAUACUUAAAACAGAUUCACCGGCAUUUAGCCUGCUAGGCUUUAAGCCUGAUUCAGUACACCGGCACUUAGCCUGCUAGACAUAUAGUCUGAAAUAUUUCACCGGCAUUAAGUCUGCUAGACAUAUAGUCUGAAGUGUUUCACUGGCAAUAAGCCUGCUAAGCGCUAUGCUUGAAAAUCUCAAUUUUCCCAUAUACAGAAUAAUUUCCUCAAAUACUUAUUAACAGCAAACACACAUUCAUUGUAGUCCAUAUUCAAUCACAAAAGAGUUUGCGAAUCAUACAUUCGAUUCAAUUCAAGAAUCUGUACACAAAUAUACAUUUAGAUAUAUUCGAACUCCCAAGUACGUUUUUAACAUUUAUACCUUAAAAUAUAAUCAAGACUUAUUCAUAUAUAUAUAUAGAUGUUCCAACUCCAUAUACUUACUUAUUCGAAAUUAUCUGUACAAUUACAACAUACAUACUUUUAAUCAAACCCAAAUGUUUUUACAUACAUCUAUAUGUUCGAAACUUAUGUAUACAUAUGUAUUAUACAUAUCUUUAAUUUAAGCAAGAAUUUAUACAUGUAUUUACUUACAUAUAUUUGAAUCUUAAGUGCACAUAUAUAUAACUCUCAUACAACCAACCAAAUUCAAGUAUAUGUAUACAUAUAGAUACAUAUAUAAUUAUUUGAAUUUAUAUAUAUAUAACUUUAUUCUAUUCAUACUUUAAAUUAGUUCAAAAAUUUAUAUAAGCAUAUACCUAUAUAUUUGAACGUUGUAUAUACAUAUUUAUACCAUUUAUAAUUUGAAUUUAUUCAAUUAAAUUACUUUUAAUUAUAGCUCAACAACAACAUAAUAGAUAUUCAUGCAUAUAUAUAUAUAUAUAUAUAUAUUGAUUUAAUAACAUUAAAUAGCUAAUAGACUUACCUCGGACGAUGGAAAAUCGAAGUCGGACGAUUAUUCGACUAAUUUGGCUUUUCCCCGAUCUAACUCCGAUUUCUUUAGUUCUCGAUCUUGAAUUAAGCUUGUUAAUGACCGAAUACCUCAAAGCUUUUAAACCCUAUUUGUUUUUCUAAGUUUCGGCAAAGGAAGAAUGAAAAUAAUGGCUUCAAUUGAUUUAUUAUAUCAUAUGUUUAUUUAAUUAUUAGUUUACUAUAUUAACCUUUAAUACAAAAUAUAUAAACCUUAUAAUAUAAGGUCAUUUUUGACCAUUAUCACCCACUCACUACUUUAUGGUCUUAUUGCAUCAUAAAUCCUUCCAUUUAAAAAGACAACAACAAUUAGGUGCUUUUAUAAUUAACCCUUAAAUUUUUAUUUUUCGCGAUUUAAUCCUUUUAUUUAAUCGGACACUCAAACAACAAAAUUAAAACACGAAAAUUUCACACAAUCAAAUGCACACAAAGUAAACACACAAAAUAAUAUUGAAAUAUUUUUAGGACUCGGAUUUGUGGUCCCGAAACCACUAUUCCGAUUAGAGUCAAACCGGGUUGUUACAUAUCAACGCAUUCAAGCAAGCAAAUUUUUAGUUCAUUUCUUUCCUCUUUUCUUGUUUAUUAUUUAUUGAGCUUUAUUGAAAAUCAUUAUACAAGGGUUUAUUUUACUUUUAAGAGCUUAAUUUUGUAAACACUCACUUACUAGAGGUUGAUCAUGUGUUUCCUCAAAUAUUCUCUUUCUAUUAAAAAGCGAACUUUAAGGUUUUUAUGCAGAAAGCAUUAAUGGAUUAGAGGUUCUUGUUUAGCCUUGAAUGCUAGGAGAAGGCUUUUGUCUAAGCCUUGCUAGAUAGAGAGUUUUAAAGGUUAUACUUGUCUUUGAAACGUAUCAAUUCAAGUUAAUGAAUUUGGAAAAUUCUUGUCGGCAAAAGAUAAAGGAGGUAGCCAAUUAAGGCCAAACCAUUGAGUCAAUAUUUUCUAUCCUUUCUCACCUUAGUGAAAACAAGUUAGAUUACCAAUUCACUCCUCCUCUCGGUAGAAUUCGAUUCGUUAAGACUUUACACUCCCUAAACAAGCGUUGAUUUUUUAUUAGGGCUUUUCUAUUUCUUGAUUUCCUACUUAGAUACUGAUAAGUUGGGCUCUUUUGUGAUUUCUGAGCUUGUAUCUUCUUCUUCUUCAAGGAUAACCGCUUAGUAAAGCAAAAAACCCAACCUCUUGGCAUGGAACAAAAUGUUGCUCAACAAUCAGUGGGUGAAGGAGGUGACAAGAACAAAGGCAAAAUGCCUUUCAAGAAAGAAGGUGCACGAGCUUUGUAGGAAAAAUAAAAAACCGGGGUACCUCUAUACACAUUUCUCUCAAGACAAAGGGAGAAUACUCUGCCAAUGCUAAGAAAAGUGACGUCAUGUUAGGCACAUGAAAAAGCCAAGGCACCAGGAGGAAACAUCGCGAUAGAUUCCCUCUUUAAAUCUCCUUACUGGAACAAGAAUGCCUAAUAGUGCUUUGGGAAGUGAUUUAGUGGGAUAAAAGAUAAUCAAAAGUGAAGUCAGCUUUCUCGAUACAAUAAAAUGAAGGCCUUCCUUGAAUAGGAGGCAAUAAAAGGGUCCAUUGAUGAUUACGUUUUUCUAGACAUGGUGGCUCUUCAGAUCUACUUACUGUCUGUACUUGUCACAAACACUACAUCUUAUCAUCGCCAAUUAGAAUGACAUGAGAAGAGCCAACUAGGUGGAAGCAAGACAGCAGUUAAAAUAAGAAGAAGAGCAACUUGUCUUACUAAAAGUUUCAUCCCGUAUCAAGUUCGCAUAUGCAACCAUUUGACACAAUAUCUUAUUCUUGCAAGAGCGAGUAGAAAAGUUUCAAAAAGUUGGCGUAUGACGUUUUUACCCCUAGUCAAUUAUUUAGGGUUUCUUGGUGACAAAUGGUACUGUACUUUUUAGAUUGAAAGAACCAUGGAACCUGUCUUACUAUCCCCACAAUCGAGGACAAGUUGGAGGUUUAUUUUUAUCCUCAAGUGGGUUAUUCCUUCAUCCCUUUAGCUUGUUUCAGGCCGCGAUAGGGAGCCAUUCUGUUUGAGGAUAGAACUAGUGAAGUUUAGCGAGAUAUGGUCCCUACAUGGUUUUUGGCGAUUAUAUUUCGAAGGGCAUAACCUAAAUGGUGCAACUCUAGCAGAAAUAGCAUUGUUUUGUUAUGUGACGAGUUUUGGUGCUUGGUCUUCAUCAUACAAUGCUUGGCCUUGGAAGAGUGGAGAUCCUUUAGCAAAGUUAAUGCUCGAAGAGGAGCGGUAACCUCCAUAUUUCGUUUGCCAAUAUGUGCAUAAACAUUUGAAUGCUAAACUUCCUGUCACUCAGCCCAAAGAAUGAGGGAAACACGUCACUAAAAGCCUUACGAAGACCCUUGAUACAUGUAUAUGUAGGCCUUUCUCUUGUUUGCAACAUUUCGUGCCUUCUAUUAUUCUGACAUCUUUCUUAUUAAUGCUUCCUAUGCCUUAGUGCUGAUGGAACCGUCUUCAUACCAAAUUAUGAGGCUUGUACAACUAUCAGCAAAGGCUAAGCGGUUGAAGCAAAUCAAUUAGAGGCUCUCUGAGGGAUCAAAAGCAAAGAGUUGCUAGUUGGAAGGAGGGAUAAUGCUAAUAGCUAUGCUUAUGUGAAGAAAGCUCACCUGGUUGAAAAUUAGGUUCCAUAUCUAGAGGUCGAGAUAAAAAAUUUGAAAGGCAAUCUCAUGAAGUUGCUAGAAAAAUUGAAAGUAUAGGAAUCUUAGAAGUAUGACUGAAGGUCUAAAUUUUUGAAUACUUAAAGUUAAAAUCUCACCAUACACAAAUAUAUAUAUAAAUAGAAAAAGAUAGAAUAGAAUUCGCAUCUAUUAUAUCAUGUCAAUGACAAUAUAAAAAUAGAACUGAGAUCUAGAUGGAAUAUAUUGGUCAUGGGUUGAGAACGGAAGUUAUAAUUACGAUAUAUGAAUUUUCAAUCUCAUAAAUGUGCAUACAUCAUGUGUGAAUUUUGUCUGAUUCUUUCUAAUCAUUUGUCAUAUAUUUUUACUUGCACUGAUAAUAUUGAAAUCACUUAUACAAUCCUUUUCUCCAAAUAUAGACAAUACUUUUUUUUUUUAACAAUCUGAGGUUUAGGCCUUUCUCAACUCAUGCUUCAAUAUAUUUGAAUUCACUUAUAUUAAUAACAAUACUCAUGCCAAUCCCUAAACCAUAAAUUCAAUCGGUUACACAAAACCUUUUCUUUAUCAGUAUUUAAGAAGAAUAAAAUUAUUCAGCAGUUUUCUUUUUGACUUUUCCUUGUAAUAAAACAAGAAAUAUAGAUUGUAUUGCAAAAACAACAAAAAGGGUUUGUAAUAACUCAAUUAUAUGGUCAAAUAUGAUGAUAAAUAGCGUACAUUAUUUAUGGCAGUCAUGUUCUUAGAGAACAACCUAAGCCAAAUCCAGUAACCAGCAAAAGAAAACACAUAAAAAUGAUAAAUUUCAGACAUGAAUCACCAUUCAUAGACCAGAGUCAACAUUAUUCCAUUUCUUGUUCUUGUUCUUGUUCUUAACAAAGCUGUCCACAAUCUGCAAUAACGACAGGCUUAGCAGUCCUUCCACUGCUAGACCCAACUUUUUCAAUGGCUUUAACCACAUCCAUACCUUCAACAACUUGACCAAACACCACAUGCAUCCCAUCGAGCCACUCGGUCUUAGCGGUACAAAUAAAGAACUGAGAUCCAUUCGUUCCGGGACCGGCGUUCGCCAUGGAUAGUAUGCCGGGUCCGGUGUGCUUCUUGAUGAAGUUCUCGUCGGCGAACUUAGACCCGUAUAUCGAUUCACCUCCGGUUCCGUUUCCGGCUGUGAAAUCACCUCCUUGGCACAUGAAAUCAGGGAUCACGCGGUGGAACUUAGAGCCUUUGUAGUGGAGUGGUUUACCGGAACGACCGACGCCUUUCUCGCCGUUACAGAGUGCCCGGAAGUUCUCGGCGGUACGAGGAGUGACGUCUGCGAAAAGCUCCAUCACGAUCCGGCCGGCCGGUUGACCUCCGAUCGUCAUGUCGAAGAAAACCUUGGGAUUUGAAGCCAUAGUUAAAAAAAAUUGAAAAUUGGCU
rnacentral:lncRNA from 1 species